rnacentral:rRNA from 1 species
GUGUAGCAGUGAAAUGCGUGGAUAUCGAGAGGAACACUCGUGGCGAAAGCGAGUUACUGGACAAUUACUGACGCUGAGGCUCGAAGGCCAGGGGAGCAAAAGGGAUUAGAUACCCCUGUAGUCCUGGCAGUAAACGGUGCACGCUUGGUUUGAGGGGAAUCGACCCCCUUCGAGCCGGAGCUAACGCGUUAAGCGUGCCGCCUGGGAAGUACGGUCGCAAGACUAAAACUCAAAGAAAUUGACGGGGACCCGCACAAGCGGUGGAGUAUGUGGCUUAAUUCGAUGCAACGCGAAGAACCUUACCUAGGCUUGACAUGCAUUUCUAAAUACGUGAAAGCGUAUGACUCUUCGGAGGACUUGCACAGGUGCUGCAUGGCCGUCGUCAGCUCGUGUCGUGAGAUGUUGGGUUAAGUCCCGCAACGAGCGCAACCCCUGUGAUUAGUUACCAGCGCGUGAUGGCGGGGACUCUAAUCAGACUGCCCAGAUCAACUGGGAGGAAGGUGGGGACGACGUCAGGUCAGUAUGGCCCUUACGCCUAGGGCUGCACACGUACUACAAUGCCCAGCACAAUGAGAACCGAGACCGCGAGGUGGAGGAAAUCUACAAAACUGGGCUCAGUUCGGAUUGGAGGCUGCAACUCGCCUCCAUGAAGCUGGAAUCGCUAGUAAUGGCACAUCAGCUACGGUGCCGUGAAUACGUUCCCGGGUCUUGUACACACCGCCCGUCACAUCAUGGAAGUCGGUCGCACCCGAAGUACACGCGCCAACCGCAA